AUCAGAUCGAUGAUGUCAUAUUAAACUGCGUUAUCUAUCUUAAAAUCUCCGAAAUAGGAGUUGCAGACACUAAACAGAAAACGCUGAGAUCUGAU
rfam:Arabidopsis thaliana chromosome 2, complete sequence.